UACGAAGGGGGCUAGCGUUGUUCGGAAUUACUGGGCGUAAAGCGCACGUAGGCGGAUCGAUCAGUCAGGGGUGAAAUCCCAGGGCUCAACCCUGGAACUGCCUUCGAUACUGGCGAUCUUCGAGUCCGGGAGAGGUGAGUGGAACUCCGAGUGUAGAGGUGAAAUUCGUAGAUAUUCGGAAGAACACCAGUGGCGAAGGCGGCUCACUGGCCCGGUACUGACGCUGAGGUGCGAAAGCGUGGGGAGCAAACAGG
rnacentral:rRNA from 1 species